rnacentral:RNase_P_RNA from 1 species
AAGGCCGUGCAUGAGGAAAGUCCGGGCUUCACAGGGCAAGGAUAGCUGCUAACGGCAGCCGGAGGCGACUCCCGGGAAAGUGCAACAGAAAGAAACCGCCGUCUUACUAGGCGGCAAGGAUGGAACGGCGAGGUAAGAGCUCACCAGCGUAUAGGAGACUAUGCGGCUAUGUAAACCCUAUCCGAAGCAACACCGCAACGAGGCACCAAUCCGCUUGCCCGGCGGGCCUCACCUAGGUGGCUUGAGCCUUUUGGCGACAAAAGGCCUAGAAAGAUUGCUGUUUGAAACAGAACUCGGCUUACACGCCUGGUC